GACAGAGGGUGCAAACGUUGUUCGGAAUUACUGGGCGUAAAGCGCGUGUAGGCGGCUAUGUAAGUCGGGCGUGAAAUCCCACGGCUCAACCGUGGAAGUGCACCCGAAACUGCGUAGCUAGAGUCCUGGAGAGGAAGGUGGAAUGCUUGGUGUAGAGGUGAAAUUCGUAGAUAUCAAGCGGGACACCGGUGGCGAAGGCGGCCUUCUGGACAGUGACUGACGCUGAGACGCGAAAGCGUGGGGAGCAAACAGG
rnacentral:rRNA from 1 species